GAACGCUGGCGGCGUGCCUACUACAUGCAAGUCGUACGCUUUUUCUUUCAUCGAGAACUUGUCUCACCGAAAGAAAAAGAGUGGCGAACGGGUGAGUAACACGUGGGUAACCUGCCCUCAAGCGGGGGAUAACACUUGGAAACAGGUGCUAAUACCGCAUAACAAUCUGAAAAGCAUUUUUUAGAUUUGAAAGUCGCAAUUGCGGCACUUGAGGAUGGACCCGCGGUGCAUUAGCUAGUUGGUGAGGUAACGGCUCACCAAGGCCACGAUGCAUAGCCGACCUGAGAGGGUGAACGGCCACACUGGGACUGAGACACGGCCCAGACUCCUACGGGAGGCAGCAGUAGGGAAUCUUCGGCAAUGGACGAAAGUCUGACCGAGCAACGCCGCGUGAGUGAAGAAGGUUUUCGGAUCGUAAAACUCUGUUAUUGGAGAAGAAGGAUAACGGUAAGUAACUGUACUUUAUUUGACGGUAACCAACCAGAAAGUCACGGCUAACUACGUGCCAGGCAGCCGCGGUAAUACGUAGGUGGCAAGCGUUGUCCGGGCAUUUAUUGGGCCGUAAAGCGAGGCGCA
rnacentral:rRNA from 1 species